GAGAGAAUGUUGAGAGGAGGUACACAGAAAAUCGUGUUCUUCUCGUAAGAGAACUGAAUUAGGUUCUUCAAGAUAUAUGGAUGGUCAAGUUCGAUUUUCUGGAAUUUUGACCCAAGAAUUGUCACAAAAUCUUGGUAAUCAUGCUAAGUAGAUUCCCAUGACUUGUUAUUGAAAAUUUUGUAAUUGGCAUGCCUUGUGUUCUUUUCCUUGUUAAUAAAUUUUCAUAUUCUUGUAGUCCUCUCUCUCUCUCUCUCUCUCGAACAAAAUUGUGAAAAUUUUGAAUCCUUACACAUUGAUGUUUACAAGUGCUGAACUUAUUCACAUAUAGUUUUCAAUUGUUCUGGUGUGACAACAGUAUAUCAUGGUUAAGUGUGCUUUUCUCAUCUAUGUAUGAAUGCUGGCAAUCAUACAUCUAUAUAUGCAGCAUCUAUGCUUGUGAGGAUAUAUCUACAUAUGCAUAUUUGUAUCUAUGUACAUAUGCAUGCAAGGCCUAUUCAUUUUAUGUACCACUGAAAAUGUUAUGAAUACCGCGCAGCUGAAAAUUUGAAAACUUAUCCUUCUUAAGCACACUAGAUUUGUAAGAAGGUGGAAUAAAAAACUAGCAUGAGUCUUGGUAUUUUGCUGCCUCAUUUUAGUAUUUUGCGAAGAGUAAAAAACAAAGAAUACCCCUACUGAUGUUUGCAGCAAUUUAUCAUCAAUUUUGCUUUCAUAUGGACAGAUAUUGGCCAACAAUAGUUUCUUCCUGAACUGCAAUAACCUAACCAUUGUAGCUGGUUCUUAUGAAGGCAAGUAUCUUGUUUAUUGUUGGAACAUGUCAUAUUCUGGUUGGACUUUCAUUUUGCCACUGUUGAAUUAAGAACUCACAAAAUGACAGCAUUUGCUGGGGCCCACAUAAUAGAAGAAUUUCUGGCUUUCUACUUCAUAUAUCCUUUAAUCCUUAGGCCCCAUAACCAUAUAGAUACAAGGUGUUGUUCACCCCUCUCAGAGUUAAGUAUUUAAUUGUCAGUAUUUCUUUUUUAAGCCUUUGAAUUCUUGUUUUUCAUGUUAGUUAGAUAUGAUCAAUGCUUGCUUUAGGAUUUGGAUAGGCAUCUACACUCUUAUUCUUAUUUAAUCAACAAAGGACUUUUAUUGGAUCAUUUUGGGUAUCUUCAGAUUUCUUUAACUGGAACAAAGUCAAGAUACGCUAUUGUGAUGGUGCAUCUUUUGCUGGGCACCCUGAAAGAGUGCUUUGACACUGAUUUGGUGUGGGCAUGCAGCUUCUAUGGUGAAUAGAGUAUCAUGCAAUAGGAAACAGAGCGACUCCUCGGUGGAUGAACUCACUUCAGAUACAGCUAUUGAGGUCAGCAUUGAGAUUCCUUUUGCAUUUCGACCAAUUCCCGUGCAAGCCAUUGAAUCAAACGACACUCAAGUACUAGAACAAAUAUUGAGGAUUAUGCUUCCUUGCUUUAUGGCACAGAGCCAACGUGAUGAGUUGGAGGCAAAGUUUUUCGAGGAGAGAGCACCUUUGAAGCUAAAUAGCAAAGCACACUCCAUAUUAUUAUUAUUUUUUUUAUUAAAAUGAGAGUAUUAGCAAUUUUUAUUUUUAUUUUUUU